ACUACCGCGAACAUGUCAAUGGCAAGUAUGAAUGUUUAUCCUCUUGUAGGAACCAGAAAUGUAUGCUAUGAAUGAAUAUUAGACGGGUUGGAACACCGAGUGUGUCCCCUCGGUGUGCUUGUAUGUAUGAACCGGCGGAGAGAUAUAGGCGUGUAUGUGCUGUCGUGUGCGCGUGCUUGUCAUCCACAGUCGAUGACGGAGCCAGGAAAUUCUCCGUUCAAAUCUAUAUUUGGCACAAAAAAAAACACGAAUUAGAAUGAUUAUUUUCAAGCCUAAACUUUUUAUUCAGAAUAUCCAGAAGUGAAAUUCUGAAAAAAAAACGUUUUUUAUACAGCAGCUAAUGUGAAACUACUAGAAACUGAAUCAACAGCACCUCUGCUGGUCAGAGACAUGUACUGCACUCCAUUUUGCCAAGAUUAAUGAACAAUUCCACACAGUAUCAUAUUCAUCCAUCUUGUUGACCUCCGUCAGGUUACCGGGACAGACCAGUGUGCUGUUAUCAGGAGCAGUCAGACGAGGCUAUUUCAGGAGGAGGACAUGUGAUAUGACCCUGUGAACCUUGCCAGUGCAGAUCCCCGCCAAUAAUGGGUGUAGCCCAUACGCAGCAACCAGUUAACCCAUCGCAUCUCCCCGCCCUGCGGCUCAAUGAUGAGGUUGGCCGUGGAUCCUCGAGGAAAGAGGCGCCGCAUGGCCUCCAGGUUUCCCGUAUACACAGCAUUUUGGAUAACCACGUCUUGGCACACGGCCGGCUUCAGGAACAUGCUGGACCUCAGUGGCACUCUCUCGCUGGCUUCCUUCUUCAGCCUAUAGCUAAGAAGGUGAUGGGAGGCCAAACGCUGCUUGUACCUGUGUCUUUCCAGGAUGUCCGCAUCCGCUUCAAGGGAGUGUAAAGCCAUGGAUGUGAAGACGAAGCUGCCUUUUGACAUGCUGGACAGCUUGCCUCGCCGAAGGAAAAACAGAAGAAGUCAAAUGGAAUGGAAAAGAAAGCUCUUGUUUCCACACUCUCUGAACACUGUCAACAGUGUGGCUACCAGCUGCUCAGCGUUGCUUGUUGUGAUAUUUGGUAUGAAGCCCUCCCUGCACCCUGACAAGUAACGCUAUUUUUGUCUCACGUGUUGUCAUUCUGCAGGCUCGGGGACGGCUAUAAAGCCCUACUGUCUGGCUGCAGGCCUGACCCCCCAAAAAUGUAUGUGAACAGUCGGUUACCGUCCCUCCGUAAAUAUUAAAUAAACCAGAGUAAUUGAUACACCCAUAAAAAUAUCUUUUUUGGCACUUUAAGCAAGCCAGCUCCUCCUUCCCCUGAAACCCUCUUGCUAGCUUGACCUUGAUGUUCUCCGCCAGUUUUUGAUCAUUCAUUUUCUACCGCUUAUCCUCACGAGGGUCGCGCAGGUGCUGGAGCCUAUCCCAGCUGUCUUCGGGCGAGAGGCGGGGUACACCCUGGACUGGUCGCCAGCCAAUCACAGGGCACAUAUAGACAAACAACCAUUCACACUCACAUUCAUACCUAUGGACAAUUUGGAGUUGACAAUUAACCUAGCAUGUUUUUGGAAUGUGGGAGGAAACCGGAGUACCCAGAGAAAACCCACGCAUGCACGGGGAGAACAUGUAAACUCCACACAGAGAUGGCUGAGGGUGGAAUUGAACUUGGGUCUUCUAGCUGUGAGGCCUGCGUGCUAAUCAACUUGUCUGCCGUGCAGGCCAGUUUUGGAUCAAUCUCUGGAAAAUAAGUGACUGUUUUAAUUAAUAGAUAAGAGUCAAUGCCAGUACCUUGCCCGUGUCUCUUCAAUUGCCAUUAUUCACUCAUAAUGAAGUUAACAAGCUAAAUGCUGAGAAUCACAAUACAGGUUUACAUCCUCAGUAUGCAUCACACCCUUACAGUGCCAAGGGCCCCCACAUGAGACUUCUUUAAGGAGACAACUUCUUACAUUAUCUGGUGGAGCUCUGGUAGCGCUAUGUCUGUGAAUACUGUAUUUCCUUCUAAGUAGCAGUAGCAGGGCUCCAAGAGAAACUUGGUGUCUUCCAAUGUCAUGUAGACAUAUACUAGACAUUUGUUGCUUUUCCACGGACAUCGUCUGAUACUGACUUGUGGCUGAGGGACCGGUGCAUCCUUAAAUGACAAUGAAAGAUAAUCGAUAGAACAGAUAGAAUUGAAUCACGGUCUGGCCUUUAGCCUGGUUUUCAGGCUCGCACUGCAACUGUACUGUAUCUGUGUAUCUGUUGUGACACCACCUCUAUCUCCGUCUGAAGAGGCCAGCAGUGGUACACUGCUAUCCGGGAUAGCUGUCGGAGAAGGCUUUUCUCCAUCCACAUCGCUUGCCUGUUGUAAAUCCAGGAACGACUUCCGAGCAUAUGAACUUGUGCUCACCUCACUUUAGGUUUUGAGGCUGGGAUUCACAAAUUUGCCGCGACAGCAAAUAUGUGGGGAUCCAAUGAACACUGUUAAAUGUUAUCCGCUCACGAUAACUGGCUAGCUACCAACUGGCUUGAAUUGAUUGUGUUCAAUUAAAUGAAUAUAUAAGAUGAAUGAAAUGUUGUCAUCGUGAGGAGAAGGGACAUACGUGAGCGGAAGUAUUUACCAGGCAGACCGCUCAGUCGUGGCACAAAAUCAUUAUAAACACUGAACAAUCCCCUCCUGACCUAA